rnacentral:rRNA from 1 species
UACGUAGGGUGCAAGCGUUGUCCGGAAUUAUUGGGCGUAAAGAGCUCGUAGGCGGUCUGUCGCGUCGGCUGUGAAAACUCGGGGCUCAACCCCGAGCUUGCAGUCGAUACGGGCAGGCUAGAGUUCGGCAGGGGAGACUGGAAUUCCUGGUGUAGGCGGUGAAAUGCGCAGAUAUCAAGGAGGAACACCGGUGGCGAAGGCGGGUCUCUGGGCCGAUACUGACGCUGAGGAGCGAAAGCGUGGGGAGCGAACAGG